ACUGGGAGCCCCCACGUGCAUGAUAACAUUGCAAGAUUGAUGGGGGGGUUGGGGGAUAGAAGGGGGGUCUGAAGGUUCAUCACUUUUUUUUUUUUUUAACCAAACUUGCAGAGUGGUGAGCUCUCCAAAUGGAGUGCUUUUAAUGGGAUUUAAUGACACAGAGCACUGAGCUGAGAGCAGAAAAUGGGAGAAAUAACCCUUAGUGUUGGCCCCAAAGAAGUGACCCCAAAGUUGGUCUCGAAGAAACGGCCCCAAAGAAAUGACCCCAAAGUUGGCUGUGGUUUUCUGUGGUCACCUCGCAGUGACCCCCCCUUGGCCAGCUCCGGAUGGAGGGAUGCACAUGGCGUAAAUGAAACCAUCUCAUCCCCGUGCUGCACAAACACACGGUGAAAAGCAGCACGAGGAGGGAUUUCCACCAUGUUAUCAGCAUACAAAGAGAGCUCUGGGUGGGAGGGAUGGCUGUCACCCGGAGGGACGGGUGUGACUGCGGACCUUGCAGGGCAGAGGGAGGAACAAUGGCACACUGUGCCCCUUGGCAUCGCCACAGAUGGGGAUGGAUGGGGGGAUUCUGUUGGCAGAGGUGGCUCCAGAGAUCGGUGCGAUCCAUCCCAGUCCCCUCCCAUUGGGGCCCUUGAAGCCAUGCGCUGCCAUCACGCAGUCACAGCCGUGGCACCGAGCCCCCAGCCAGGAGCUUUGGGCAGGAGCUCCAAUCUCCACAUUCCGAGGAGAAGAAUUCAAUCAGCAAACUAAGGAACUGGGAACACAGCGCAGACCACUCCAUCUGCAGCAGCAGCACAGUUUGGCCCUCAAUGCUGGACGUGAUCUCCCCAGCUGUGAAAACCGAUCUGAACCCCACAGCAACCUACAGACCAAGUCGCUUUCCCCCCACUUCUCUGUGCUGAAGCUCUGAGAGGACACAGCAAUCCGAGGGCCUUUCCAGGCAGAUCUGCAGUGCCGCGGGCCGGAGGGCAGCAGCCAACAGAUCGUGGCUAAAUAUAGGAGCUCCGUCGCCCCGCAGCUGCUCAUUUGCAAUUUGUUCUGCGCGUAAAAUCUCUUAAUGCUACAGAUAAACUUCGGGAAAGUUACAUCCCAAUAAACAAUGAGGUGUUGUUUAAAAUUA